rnacentral:rRNA from 1 species
CAACAGGGAUUGCCUUAGUAGCGGCGAGUGAAGCGGCAAAAGCUCAAAUUUGAAAUCUGGCUCUUUCAGAGUCCGAGUUGUAAUUUGAAGAAGGUAUCUUUGGGUCUGGCUCUUGUCUAUGUUUCUUGGAACAGAACGUCACAGAGGGUGAGAAUCCCGUGCGAUGAGAUGAUCCAGGCCUAUGUAAAGUUCCUUCGAAGAGUCGAGUUGUUUGGGAAUGCAGCUCUAAGUGGGUGGUAAAUUCCAUCUAAAGCUAAAUAUUGGCGAGAGACCGAUAGCGAACAAGUACAGUGAUGGAAAGAUGAAAAGAACUUUGAAAAGAGAGUGAAAAAGUACGUGAAAUUGUUGAAAGGGAAGGGCUUGAGAUCAGACUUGGUAUUUUGUAUGUUACUUCUUCGGGGGUGGCCUCUACAGUUUAUCGGGCCAGCAUCAGUUUGGGCGGUAGGAGAAUUGCGUUGGAAUGUGGCACGGCUUCGGUUGUGUGUUAUAGCCUUCGUCGAUACUGCCAGCCUAGACUGAGGACUGCGGUUUAUACCUAGGAUGUUGGCAUAAUGAUCUUA